rnacentral:rRNA from 1 species
UACGUAGGGGGCAAGCGUUGUCCGGAAUUAUUGGGCGUAAAGCGCGUGUAGGCGGCUUUGCAAGUCGGGUGUGAAAGCCCUCGGCUCAACCGAGGAAGUGCGCCCGAAACUGCAGAGCUUGAGUACCGGAGAGGAUGGCGGAAUUCCCCAAGUAGAGGUGAAAUUCGUAGAUAUGGGGAGGAACACCGGUGGCGAAGGCGGCCAUCUGGACGGAUACUGACGCUGAGACGCGAAAGCGUGGGGAGCAAACAGG